rnacentral:lncRNA from 1 species
ACAUAUUUGACCUAUAUUUUAUUUGUGAACAUGUAGUAAUCACCCAGUAGAAAGCAAGCUCUUUGAAGGCAGACACUGCCUGCACCUAACAUGGGGUUGGCACAUAGAAGGCAAUUAAAUCCUUGUUGACUGAUUUGGAUAUCCCUCCCUAGUAUAUAAAUUGCAAAGAUGGAGCACAGUUAGAGGUAAAGAUGAUGGAGUAUAAGCAAGGACACAGCUGAACUAUCCUGAUAUCCCCUUCCAAAAAACUUUAAAGUGAUGUCUCAAAUAAAAUUCUGGAUUGGCAGAGCCAGUAAAAGUUGCAUAAGACAAUGUAGGGAAGUCUGAAAAAGAGGUCUGUACCACUAAGAUGGGUGCAGCCCCUGAGCCACAGUAGGAGGCAGCUGCUUCAGGAGCUCAGAGCCCAUAUGCUCUCUAAUUGCCUUACUAAUGAUAAAGCUCUUCAAUUUCAUCAUUCUCUGCACUUUACCCUUGAAUCAAGAUGGCUCACUCUAUGUACCCGAGACCCUCCAAACCUUGCCUCCUUAUCUCUUAUAUCUGGAACAUUCUCCUUUUUUGACUAUCCAAUUAUUCUUCUUCAAAGUCAAAGGUAGUAACUUCCUCCACGUGGCCUUAGCUAAUCCUCCAGAAGGUGAUAAACCUCUUAAAUCCAUAUAGCACUUUAUGACUCUUUUCUGUAUUUUGUGAAGCAAAAUGCUAUGAUAAAGAGGAAAGUCUGAGGUGGAGAUGGCUUUAGGUCUCUGAAACAUCUAGCUAUAUAUGUCCAAGGGAUAAAUCACAUCAUCUUAAUGGCCCAGGCAAUUAAGACAUCAAUUUACAAAUGAGUUACAAAUCUGCAUCAAUCUGCAGAGGAAGUUUCUACACUGGGAACUGAGAUAAAAUCAGGUCUGAACUGGUUCCCCACCCUCUUCUUCCUUCUCCAAAUUUAUCAGGCAAUAUAUUAUUAGUUAGAUUCGCCUUAUUCCAAGUAGACACAAGAGACUGAAAGCAACUAAUCAUCUCUUAGAAAUUUGUUUCUCUCAGCAUCUAUGCUCUAUACAGUACUUCAAAAUUUAUCAAAUGAACAAAUAUCUACAGGAUCAUAGGAUCUUAAACUGGAAGGAGCCUUGGAAACCUAGUCCAAUCCAUUUAUUUGGUGGAAACUGAGGCACAGAGAAGUUGACACCCACAGAUUACACAUUUCACACAGCUUCCUAGUAUAAUAAAUGACAUUAUUUAUUCUUCUUUUCCACAUUCAAAUUGUCUAACCAACAAUUCUUAGCUAUUCCCCUGAUCUAACUCCUGCCUGCUCCCUACAAUGUCCUGUCUGUGGAAAAUCUUGUUUUCCUUAAAGGGUUAGCAAAUUCUACAAUCUCUAUGAAACUUUCUGUGCUUCCUCCUCUAACUCCCACUGAAAAUUAUUUUAAAGUAGUAGUACUCAAGAUAGGCCUUGCGCCAUUA